rnacentral:rRNA from 1 species
UACGUAGGGGGCAAGCGUUAUCCGGAUUUACUGGGUGUAAAGGGAGCGUAGACGGCGGUGCAAGUCUGAAGUGAAAGGCGGGGGCCCAACCCCCGGACUGCUUUGGAAACUGUGCUGCUGGAGUGCAGGAGAGGCAAGUGGAAUUCCUAGUGUAGCGGUGAAAUGCGUAGAUAUUAGGAGGAACACCAGUGGCGAAGGCGGCUUGCUGGACUGUAACUGACGUUGAGGCUCGAAAGCGUGGGGAGCAAACAGG